UUUCAUAUCUGAACUUUAAUAAGUGGAUUGCAUUAUUUCUUUUUCUAGAAACAGUAACUCAAGAACACAUGGAUCCUGGGAACUGAAGAGGGCAUCAGCUUAAAAUUUCUGUCAAGAGUUUGCAGCAUUCCAGCUACUUUCCAUCAUCAGCACCCAGGUGGAUGAAGUUUUCUAUCAUUACCUCCCCCUUUAUGGUCUCCUUAUUUAAAAGUUAUAAUCCUUAGGGUGCACCCUUAAACUUCAAC